CAGCCGCCGCGGUAAUACCGGCGGCCCGAGUGGCGGCCACUAUUAUUGGGCCUAAAGCGUCCGUAGCCGGGCUGGUAAGUCCUCCGGGAAAUCUGGUCGCUUAACGAUCAGACUUCCGGAGGAUACUGCUGGCCUAGGGACCGGGAGAGGCCGAGGGUAUUCCCGGGGUAGGGGUGAAAUCCUGUAAUCCCGGGAGGACCACCUGUGGCGAAGGCGCUCGGCUGGAACGGGUCCGACGGUGAGGGACGAAGGCCAGGGGAGCGAACCGGAUUAGAUACCCGGGUAGUCCUGGCUGUAAACGAUGCGGACUAGGUGUCGGGCAAGCUAAGGGCUUGUCCGGUGCCGGAGGGAAACCGUUAAGUCCGCCGCCUGGGGAGUACGGCCGCAAGGCUGAAACUUAAAGGAAUUGGCGGG
rnacentral:rRNA from 1 species